ACGGAUUGUUCAUAAACGGAGAAACAGAACAAAAUGGCCGAUUUGAAUUAUGAAGAGCCUGUUGUGGACAAUGGAAAUAGAGAAUAUUCUCCAGAAAGAACGCCUGUUAAGCCAAGCAGACGGUCCCGAUCACGGUCACGGUCACCCAUUCGGAGAUCACGCUCGCGGUCACCACGGCGACGGAGGUCAGUGAAUCUCAUGUCGAAACGUGUGAUGGUCAGCAACAUUCCUUACGAGAUGAAGUGGCAGCACAUCAAAGACAUCUUCAGAAAGGAAGUUGGUGACGUGUCUUAUGUGAAUAUGUUUGAAACGCCUGAUGGAAAAUCGAGUGGUUCGUGUGUUGUUGAAAUGAAGACAAUGGAUCUUACAAGAAAGGCAAUUGAGGUUAUGCAUAAAUUCAAAGUCAAGGACAGAUUCCUGACCGUUCGAGAGGAGCGAGAGAGUGACCUACGGCGACAGGAGAUGUAUGGCGGCGGUGGUGGCGGCGGUAUGGGGAACAUGUCUCAGGGAGGCGGUGGAAACGUCGGCCUUGGUAUGGGUGGUGGCGGUAUGGGCGGAGGCGGAAUGGGCGGAGGCGGAAUGGGCGGAGGCGGAAUGGGCGGAGGUGGUGUUGGCGGAGGGGUGGGCAUGGUCGGCAGUCAGAACAUGGGAAUGGGCGGCCCCAUCAACAACCGUAUCCUACAGCAGCUCGGAAUCGAAGGACCGCUUUCAAACACGGUGUUUAUCCACAAUCUGGAUUUCCGUGUGACGUGGCGUAAACUGAAGGAUGUCUUCAAACUGGCUGGCAAUGCAAUAAAGGCCGAUAUCAAAGUAGACAAGGACGGCAAGAGUCGCGGCUUGGGAACGGUCCAGUUUGAAACUCCGCUGGAGGCCGUGCAAGCAAUCUCUAUGUUCAACGGUCAGACGCUGUACGACCGGCAGAUGAUGGUCCGAAUAGACAAGACGGAGGAGCCCAAACCACCGGCGCCACGACUGCCCAGUGGCCUGAGGUCUAUAGGCAUGGGGCUUGGUAUAGGUGGAGCCCCCCUGCAGAAUCUAUCGCAGCUGCCGGGAGGUAUGGACAGUGGAAUUAGAGGUGGUGGAAGUGGCGGUAUGGGUGGUGGUUUCGGUAGCAUGUCUGGUAUGGGCGGAAUGGGCUCCAUGGACAUGGGCGGUGGGAUGUCCAGCAUGGGGGUUGGAAUGUCUGGCAGUAUGGGCGGGCUGUCUGGCAGCAUGGGGGGCCUCUCUGGAAACAUGGGGGGCAUGUCUGGAAACGUCGGCGGACUGUCCAGCAGCAUGGGCGGGAUGUCUGGAGGUUUGGGCGGGAUGGGGAGCGGGUCCAGCAGCCUGGGUGGGUCAAUGGGGAUGGGGGGAGGCAUGGGGGGCAUGUCCGGAGGCAUGGGGAUGGGAAGCAGCCUCGGGGGCAUGGGGGGCAGCCUUGGCAUGUCGGAUAACUUCAGCUCGGGCAUGGGGGGCAUGUCGUCGAACCUCGGUUCCGGGAUGGGCGGGGGGAUGAAGGACUCGAUGGGGGGGAUGGGAAGUAUGGGGGGAUCCAUGAUGAACUCCAGUAUGGGAGCGUGGGGCUCGGCCAACAUCGGCUCCAGUGGCAUGUCAUCGAACUCUGGAGACUCGGGUCACUAUGGCAACUACGGCUUGAAUGACCGGCGGGGAUCCAGCGGUCUGACGAGGCCGGACAACUGCACGGUUAUUGUUAAAAAUUUGCCGUAUUCCUUUACCUGGCAAACUUUAAAGGAUCGCUUUCAAGAUGUCGGCAAAGUAAAGUUUGCAGAGAUAGAGAAGGAGAACGGAAGAUCGUCUGGUGUUGGAUACGUUCGAUUUGGGAAUCCCGGUGAUGCUGAGAGAGCUGUCACUGUGAUGAACCGCGCUCGAAUGGAGAGUCGCGAGAUUCUGGUGCGCCCGUACCGCAACUGAACUACUGCACCGACAGAUAGACGGACGGUCGGACAGAGAUGUAUAAUGUACAUUGUGUGGUGUUUUGGAAGACAAUUUUCAACGUCCGAUACACAUUCUAUGAUGCAGUGAGUGUUGAACAGUGCAUAUAUUUAUGUUCAUCGAGAUCAGAGAUGACUGUUUUACAGUUUUUUCCAACUGAAGACCCCGCUGCUGAUUGAAGGUGGACAAUUGGUGGAAAAUUAGAAUUCGUAGCCGUUCAUAACAACAUGGACUACAUUACCUGUGGGUUUGCCUCGUGUGUUAAAUACAAACACAGUGCUUAUUUUCUUAAUAAAUUAAAGUUUCUUAAUUUCAUUUCAUUUCAACUUAUUUUAUUGAUAAUAUCUAAGUACGGUUCAAGCACCCUUUCCUGGGCACACACUUCAGCUAUGUGGACUGUCUUGUGGGUUUGUGAGAUAGAAAUCAGUGUAGUGACCGUACUCCUACCCACAGAGUCAUUAAACUCACCCUGGGUGGGAGCCGUUGCCGGAAUAUGAACCCAGUACCUACCAGCUUUUAAGUCGGAUGACUUAAGCACUACACCACCGAGGCCAGUCAUUUCUUAGUACUGUUUAAUGGUUUCAUAGUGAAAGCAAAGCAGAGAGUGUGUUUCAGCACGCACCAGGAAGAUGAGCUCUGUGUACGUUUGAUGUUCAUCAAGGUUACUAGCUCUAUGCAUGUGGUACAGUGGUGCACAUGAAUAGGCGCAGGGGCUCCCAUUUUUGAAAGGCGGGGCUGGAGGCAGGCUGAUUUUUGCCUGAAUCUGGAUAACAACAUUUAUUCAUGUUAGUAGUAUUGCCAAACAGCUAUUUACGGUUUCAAACAAAUAACUACAUAUUUUGAAAUGGAUUACAACCUGUAUUGUGGGUGGAAUGAUGGAAGUACUUGGUGAAAAGGUUUCAGGCAAGCUUAUUUUAACCAAAUAUCAGCAUUUUAUUUGUUUUGUUUUUUGCCUGAAAAUUGAGGAUUUGCCACAGUUCAGGAUAGAGUUGGGGGAGAGUUGUUCUGUUCCAUCCACCCCACACCCCUGUCUCAAACACUUAUGUGCACAUGACAAAUGUUUUGUGCAUUUUUAGUAAGGAGACUGCAUAAUAUAAUGUUUAAAUACAAGUGCAUUUGGCUGUUAGAAUGUGUGGACCAGUGAGAGGGGAAGACAUGACCAAAUAAUAGUAUCGGGGACAAAAAUCACAGUCGCAAGGAGGUGCUAAGCUAGCAUAUGUGUCUUGUAUAAGCGAUAAUACCUUAAAAUAUGUCAUGUGCAUAGAAACGGGCCAGAUUGAUUUGAAUUUUUAAUAUUCGAAUAAGAGAUUUCAUUGUGUCAUUGUUCAUUUCUCAUGUUUUUCAAUUGCAGUGUUUACUCCUUAGCGUUUCACUGCAGUAUUGUUUUCUAACUUAAAAGUUUGAGAUCAGUUUAACAAAUGAUGUUUUCUUUUCAUUUUUGUUGUACGUCCAAGUACUUAGACGUGGCAUGGAAUGAACUGGUUUUCCUUUUAAUGGUUGCCUUUAGAAUCGGAUCACUGACCAUGGAGCCUGCAAGAUGUUCAGUGUCCAUGGCCGUUGGCUGGUGCACAGUUUGUCACCAUGGAUGGCAAGCGGCAAACCUGGUUUUGGUCUCAACCACUGUUUUUAUGAAGGAUUUGACUUGAGUUAUAUAACAAUCUCUGACAUGUUGCAGAGAUUGUGUUUUCUAAUUUUAUGAAAGUAACAAGUCAGCUUAUUAAUAUAUAAUAUAUAUAAUUAUUUAAUUAUCAGAAUAUCUGCGGGUUUUCAGUUGUAACAUCUGUUGCAAAUUUGUUUGAAAAUUGACAUUUGUUCCAAUAUGGUUUUCAAGUGUUUAUUUUCGAAAUCUGUCAUGUUAAAUAUUGAAGAUUGUAAACUUGUAACGGUUGGUUUUUCAUUGUUUCGACAGAAUGGGAUGCAUUUUUAAUAUGCUGACUGUUAAGGAAAAUGUUUUCUGCUUUCGUUGUUGGUAUAUAUAAUAUAUAUAUUUUUUUAUUAUUUUUUAAUUCAAGUGUCUUCAAAUUUUAACAAGACUGGUUUUUUUCUUUUUGUUUUGGUUUUUUGAGGUUACCAAGGAAGGUCAUGUAUUAAUAUUUUUAUUGUAAUUUGUUUAAGCUAAACUAUUUUUUGAACAGAAAGUUUUAUUGUGAAGGCUGUCGUUAUUUGUUCAUCUUUGUUUUCUUAAGAUUCAGUAUUUUCUGAGUGUUGGUAUGCAUUUAUUACCUGUUAACCUUCUUUUGUUUUAAUAUAUAUAAAGUUGCAAAUGUGUGUUUUAAUGUCUUCAUUGAAGAUGGCAGUUUAUGCAGAGGAAAACUUCACAUAUGUAAGUGCCUAUUGGCUGUGGUUUUUGAGGGGGAAAGCACAAUGUUAUCUGGAGGUUUCAUUUCUAAUUUAUUGAUUUUUAAUAUUUCAGGGUAUGUAUUUGUCUUAACAUAUUGGCUAGUUGUAUAUAUGUAGUGUUAUUUAAUUUUUAAGCUUGACUGGUACUGAAAUUAUUUUGUGUUGUGCACUUAUCCAAUUGUUUUUCUAUUGUGUUUGGUAUUGCAAUCACCGUUCGACCUCUACAACACGGCAUUGGAGUGUGUGGUAGGCGCUUUCUCGAAUGCACCUCCUUUUGGAUCAUCAAGUUUGAGGUCUUGGAACUUGGGAAGAGAACAAAUACCAGUGUCACAAUUUGUGGUUUGAUCGAUGUGGUGGAAACUGUUGUUACAAAAAAAGAAAGAAAAAAAAAGAGGAGUCUUUUUAAAAUUUGCAGUAUUCUUGUAACAGUUUGCAAACAGUAUUGUUGAUGGUCACAUUUUCAAUGGGGUGUUUGCUGAAGAAAACCGUUUGAAGAAAUACUGUGUUAUUGUCACUAAUGUAUUGAGCACAGCCAACAUUGGUGCAAGUUGAUAUUCAUGGAUGCAUGGCAGGAAAAACAUGGUUUGAUUGGCUGAAGGCAUGGAAUUUCAACUGAUUUCGUGCUCCACUGGUUUGAAAGGGGACGGCAGUUAGGUAUUUUGGUCCAGGAAGAUCGUUUUGCUUGUAUCAAAGUUGGUCGAUCUUUCGUUGGAGAAAGAAUCCUGAUUGCAGUGAAAUGAGGUUUUCUGUGAACUGUUUGUGAUAGGUCCCCUUUGGAUGAGAAGCUAGAGAUAUUGGAUUGUGGGUCACAGGAUGGAACUGACAAGGAGGUCUGCCGUGUCAUGAAGUACACCGUUGAGAGGAGAUACAUUCUUAUUCUGGGACUAGAGGCGCUGUGGACUAGUGUUCCCAUGACGACAUGGAGGGAUGGUUUAGUAGAUGGGCGUACAGUGCCUGCAGAUAGCGUUGUGAUAAACAGAAUCGGUCUACAGUGCAAUCAUCAUUAACUGUCAUUGUGAUGGUGGUGAUGGACAUAAGAUAGAUGCCAGGGAAUUGUGGAUUCCUGCAUAGACUUGUGGUUGUUGUAAGAAUCAAGUGGACUGUAUGUGAUGCCAGGGAGUCACCAAUGCCUGCGUGGACCAUUGUGGUUGUUGAGAAUAGAUGGACUGUAUGUGAUGCCAGGGAGUUAUGCAUGUCUGCAUGGACUGUUGUGGUUGUUAUAACAAUCAAAUGGACUGUAUGUGAUGCUAGGAAGACAGAUGUCUGUGUGGAGUGGUGUGGUUGUUAUAAGAAUUAAAUGGACUCUUUGAAGUCAGAGAGUCAUCAGUGUGGAAUACAGUGUUGUGAUUGUUAUGAACAUUAAAUUGACUGCAGCAUGGAAGGGACCAAGCCUCAUGAAUUUCCCAUUCUUACCUUCACAAAAUAAAUUUGAUAUUUGUAGAUGGCAAUUUAUUGAACAGGCUACAGAAUUAUACACUUACUAUCCAUGUGCUGAGGUGCAUUAAACAAACAUUCCAAUCAA